CACGCAGUGAGGACACACGACUUCCGGUUAAAGGGGUUGAAAUAAGAAAAACACACAAGAAAAAACACCGCAAAACAAUAAUUAACUUCCUUGUGGUUUGGCCUAAAUGUUUGUGACUUUAAGUCUCAGGCCUGAAAAUGGCAAUGUCUGCCUCCUCUGGAGUUGCAUGCACAUCCCCGCUGACUGAAGAUAAAAACUAUCACAACAACGCUCCUCCUGCUUUCCAGAUGAACAGAUUCAAAAGGCACUGAGGGCACAGUGGAGCUGUUUUACCAGCCAUGGAGGAGAGUGUAAUUUGGUUGUAAGGUAACCGUGGUAACAGAAAAAAGAGCGACUCCAGGGCAGGUGGAGAGAGGUGGAGAGAGGGGGGGGGGGGAGUCUUGAAGUUUAGUGGUGAUGGCCUAUAAAAAUGAAAUAAAACCCCUUUUAUGCAGGAAUCCCGUAACCAGUUGUCCUUCAUCAAACGUUGUUAAUGUUUUUCUUAUUGCAACACACUGCUUAAACUGCAACAUCUCUUUGGCUUGAGUAAGUAGGCAGCAGAAAGGGGAAACUCUCACUUCACUUUCUCAGAUACACCUGAAAGUCUGAAAAUGCCUCCCACUUUUUCUCUUUGCACACAUCUUUUAGACCACUUUCGUUUGUGUACUGUAUAUGCGGUGAACAAUAAACCUAUAUGGUAUGGUAGAAAUUCAUGUCAGCACAACAUUUCCAGUGUUAAAAGGUAACUGUUGAGGCUUUUGUCAUGUGGAUUUUUCUUUACUAUGAUCCCAUAACAAACAUAUAAUAUUUGCAUUUGUAAAGCUACUUUAAUACUUUACAGUGGGCUAAGAAACUGUUUCAACAAGUUCAACACUGUCUCUCACCCCACCUUACACUCUUACAUGUGUGACUUGUGUUAACAUGCAGUGAGAAAUCAUUAUAGUGUUGGUUCAAAUUAACAAUUCCCCGUUUAAUUCAUAGUUUAUUCGCUUUUCUUUACAUUCUGCAGAACAUAUAUGGUGGGUAUUUUAUUUGUGUGUAUGUGUGUAUCAUUAAUUCAUGUAGCAGUAUUUACAUGUAGAUAAGAGAUAACACCACUUAAACUUUGGAUUAAUUUAAGCUUGCUUUUAUCUGUGUGUUUAUAA